AUUGAACGCUGGCGGCAUGCCUUACACAUGCAAGUCGAACGGCAGCACGGGUGCUUGCACCUGGUGUCGAGUGGCGAACGGGUGAGUAAUACAUCGGAACAUGUCCUGUAGUUGGGGAUAGCCCUGCGAAAGCCGGAUUAAUACCGCAUACGAUCUACGGAUGAAAGCGGGGGAGCUUGGGGCCUCGCGCUAUCGGGUUGGCCGAUGGCUGAUUAGCUAGUUGGUGGGGUAAAGGCCUACCAAGGCGACGAUCAGUAGCUGGUCUGAGAGGACGACCAGCCACACUGGGACUGAGACACGGCCCAGACUCCUACGGGAGGCAGCAGUGGGGAAUUUUGGACAAUGGGCGAAAGCCUGAUCCAGCAAUGCCGCGUGUGUGAAGAAGGCCUUCGGGUUGUAAAGCACUUUUGUCCGGAAAGAAAUCCUUGGCCCUAAUACGGUCGGGGGAUGACGGUACCGGAAGAAUAAGCACCGGCUAACUACGUG
rnacentral:rRNA from 1 species